CGGUGCUUGCCCAUCGGCUCAGCCGGGGACCGGCGAGCUGCCGCCGAGGUGAUGCUGCGGCCGGAGGAGCCCCGGGCGGGGGAGGCGGUGGCAGUCGCUGGAGAGACGACGGGGGAGCUGCUGAGGCGGAGCCCCCUGCGGCGCGGGGCGAGAAGGCGACUAGAAGUGAUACAUCAGAGAUCCAGGAAGAGACAAUGCCGUUCAUUGAAGACAAGGUGA
rnacentral:lncRNA from 1 species